GACGGGUGAGUAACGCGUGGGUAACCUGCCCAUAAGUGGGGAAUAACAGUUGGAAACGACUGCUAAUACCGCAUAAGCUGAGCAAUCAGUAAAGGAGGCUAACGCUUCCGCUUAUGGAUGGGCCCGCGUCUGAUUAGCUAGUUGGUGGGGUAAUGGCCUACCAAGGCAACGAUCAGUAGCCGGCCUGAGAGGGUGGACGGCCACACUGGGACUGAGACACGGCCCAGACUCCUACGGGAGGCAGCAGUGGGGAAUAUUGCGCAAUGGGGGAAACCCUGACGCAGCGACGCCGCGUGAGCGAAGAAGGCCUUAGGGUCGUAAAGCUCUGUUUCAAGGGACGAAUAACCUUAGUAGUAACUGACUAAGGAAUGACGGUACCUUAAGAGAAAGCCCCGGCUAACUACGUGCCAGCAGCCGCGGUAAGACGUAGGGGGCGAGCGUUGUCCGGAAUUACUGGGCGUAAAGAGCACGUAGGCGGGAUUUUAAGUCAGGUGUGAAAGACCGUGGCUCAACCACGGGGUUGCACAUGAAACUGGAAUUCUUGAGGGCAGGAGAGGAAAGUGGAAUUCCUGGUGUAGCGGUGAAAUGCGUAGAAAUCAGGAGGAACACCGGUGGCGAAGGCGACUUUCUGGACUGACCCUGACGCUGAGGUGCGAAAGCGUGGGUAGCAAACAGGAUUAGAUACCCUGGUAGUCCACGCUGUAAACGAUGGAUGCUAGGUGUGGGAGGUAUCGACCCCUUCCGUGCCGCAGCAAACGCAAUAAGUAUCCCGCCUGGGGAGUACGGUCGCAAGGCUGAAACUCAAGGAAUGACGGGGGCCCGCACAA
rnacentral:rRNA from 1 species